AAAAAAAAAAAAAAAAAAUUGCAUAAUGAUAGGUCAUCAUUGUUACAUUAUGGUUGUUACAGACUUGUUUCCAUUAUCCAUGACGAUGAUUUAAAACCAUGUUAGGGCCACUACUAAGGUAUCAAAUGACUAGUUUGGCUUUAUAUCAAGUAAAUCUACAAUAGAGUCACUCUUUCUAAUCAGAUUAAUAGAAAUAUUUAGGAAGAGAAAGAAGGAUCUCCAUAUGUUAUUCAUUUAUCUAGAGAAGGCAUACAAUAAAAUAUCAAGAGAAGUUCUUUGGUGGGUGCUGAAGAAGAAAAGAUAUAAUCUUAAAUACAUAAAUGUCAUCAAGGGCAUGUAUGAAGAGGCAAUUACACGUAUAAGAACAAUAGGAUGAGAUAUGAACAAGUUCCCUACAAAAGUAGGCUUACAUUAGGGACUCACUUUCAAUUUGUAUCUAUUUACCUUAGUUAGGGAUGAGCCAACCAGUCAUAUUCAAGAUGAUGUCCCAUAGUGCAUGUUAUUUGCAAAUGGUGUUAUUUUAAUAGAUGAAACUAGUGAAAUAGUUAACCAAAAGUUGGAGUUGUGGACUAUUGAAAGUAAGGGUUUUUAGGCUAAAAUGAGUGCUAGUGAUGCAAAUUGGGAAUAAAAUAAGAAAGGGUCAAUUAAGACAAUUUGGUCAAAUCCAGCGUAAAGCAUUAAAUACCAUAAUAUGGAAAUGUGAUAAGUUAGUAGUGAAACGAGUAAAGGAAAGAGGGAGACCUAAGAUAAAGUGAAGGAAGUAAUAUCAAGAGAUUUAUAAUUUUCUAAUAUUUUUGCGGAAUUGGUUUCAAACAGAACUGAACGGCAAAAAUUGAUCAGUAUAGUUGACACCACUAGUAUGGGACUAAAGCUUAAUUGUUGAUUUUUUGCUGAUGUUGCAUGUUACGAAGAAUCAAAACCCAAACUACUUUACAGCCAUCCACAUAUCAUUUCUUAAAAAGCUUCCAUUGCAUAUUUACUCAGCAGUAUAAGGAUCUCUUGAAAUAGCAAUUCUAUGACUCCAUGUACACAAAAGUUCUGAAGUUCAAUGUAAAUCAAGAUAGCUCUUUUUAGGCCAAAAUGGUGACAAUCAACAAAAUACCAACCAAACUUAAGGUACAAAAUAUAACCACAAAUUUCUCUCAGGCUACCAAAUUUGGUUUAGCAUGAAUCCCAUGAAGUAAGAAGGCAGUAAAAGGUACCUACUAAGUGGUGAGAAUGCUAGAAUACUACUAAGUGUUGACAUUGGCACAUGAUGCACAAAAUAAAACAAUAGGAGCCCUCAAAAAUGAAAAAAGAACAAUGGACAAAUGGGGAAAAAAAACAUUUUAAAAGACCAUGCAGAAUACAGAAGAAUCACAUGAGUAACAUUAAUGGGCAAAUAAAAUUAUCAGAAGAUGGAUCUAGUGAAAAUGCUCACUAGGACUUCUAGUGAUGGACUUGAAAACCGAUUUGGCAUUGCAUUUUAAACGAAUUUUCACCAAAGAAAGCAAGAGAGAGAGAGAGAGAGA
rnacentral:misc_RNA from 1 species